CGUGUCCAGGUAAACUCUAAGAGCCUGCAUGUCUUGCCCAACACCUGACUUGAAGCCGGAUCAUGCUCUUUCAAGGCCUUUUGCUCAAGAGGUUGCACCCUGCAGUGUUUUUGGAGGUCUGAUUCUUGUAACUCAGAAUCAGUAGAUAAUCAGGAGAUUAGAAAAUUCUUCAUUGGUUUCCUGUGUUUUCCUGUCUUACAACAUGAGGAAGGCCGGCCCUGGAUGAUCACAUCAACUGAACAACUAAAACCACAAUACCUAACAGGAAAUUCUGCAUUUUCCUCCAAACAUAUAAACAGCAAAAUUCGGUGGCUCUGGAAAACCUACUGCAGGGCCCAAUAACUUGGCUGAUGAAUCUAACCAGAUGGGAGUGUUGCAAGGUGGAGAUUCUUGGCUGCAGAGGGAAGAGAUGCUUGAUCAGGCUGUCCAGGUUCACAAGGAGGAUUGUCUGAUGGAGUCCCCAUCCAAGUCGAGUUGGCCUCUUCAGAUGAGAUCACUGUUUUCCGAACAUGCGUUGGGACAGGCAAGAGUCCUGUGAAUAUGCUCCAGGAUAGUUAGUGUCAGUUUGACCAAGGCUCACUCUCACUCCCAAAAGUUUUCCUUUCCUAAAAUGCAAAACUACUCCAGCAUCGUGCUAUGUCGUUCCUCUUUCCCUUUGCUCCUCAGGCUGAAAGCAGCGCUCGGUGGCUCAGUGUGUGGAGCAGUUGAGCUGGCUCAGCAUCUCCACCGACCUAGCACCUCAGCGAGCACAGAGGUCAGCCUGAAUAGCAUGACCACGACUCCUGCCUCUCUCUGACUGUGGCAGAAGGAGAAAGAACCAAGAAACAGCGUCGGGAGAAGAGACCAAAUAGAGCAUUCAUGAAUUUGUGAGGUUAAAGUGGAUGUUCACAUCUACGUUUCAAAGCUACAGCCAUGCCUUCCAAAUAACAUCUAAUCUGUGCAUUUUCACAACUGAGAAUCAUACUAUGAUUAAAUUGGAUGGUCGCCCCUUUGUGCCCACUUUCUCAUUUUCCAUGAACUCCAGUACAGCAUCAAUCUGUGCUGUGAGACUGCAUUAUGUGAAUUUUGAUGCUUACAAAUAUAUGUAUGCCUGUAAGGAAAAAUAACUUGUCUUUUGUACAAAAUUGGGAGGGGUGGAGGAUACAGAGGAGAUCUGGGAGGAGUUAGGGGAAGAAUGGGGAAUGAAUGUGAUGAAAAUACAUUGUGUGUGUGUAUGAAAUCUCAGAGUUAAUAAAAAUAUUUUAUUUUUUUUAAUGAAAAAUUGCCUUGUAAGUCAGAGGAGCACACCCUUCAUGUUAACACCUGCACUGAGAAUACCAGUGCAGGGGACAUUUCUACACACGCUCCUUCCCUUUAGAUAUGACCUCCUGCCCAUGCCCCUCCAAGUCUUACUCUGCUGCCUGCUGCUUCCCCUGCGGGAGGCCAGGAUGCUCUUCUCAAGUUCUGAGAUAUUUAUGAUUAAUGCGUUCUUAACACCACACACUGGUGGCAAACUUCUGGAGAUUGUCAUGGGUGCUUCUUGGUGGUGGCUCUGGUUAGGUUUCUGUUCUCUAACAUUAGGGAUCAUUAAUUAAUACUCAAAGAAGUAUUGCAAGGAAUGAAGCAAAUUAAGACUUACAACUUGCCUGGCUGUGCUGCCCACAGCUCAGUACUGUUAUUUUCCGAUCCUGUGGUUUACAUUUUUUCUUCUGUGGGCCUCCUCAGGGUUGUUCCUUGUUGUGGUUUGGAUGUGACUUGGUUGUGUUCCUCAAAGGUGUCUUGAAAGUUUGUUAGUUUUGAUAGAGAGUGUUACAUCUUUCAAGGAGGGAUCUGUGUGAUGUAUUUAGGCCACUGAGGUUUAUGCUUUUAAAAGGAAUUGAGGCAGCUUUCAUGGGAACAUGGUUAGUUUUCACUAAAAAAGAUUUGGUAUGGAAGAUUGAUCCUGACCUUUGAAUUCUGUCUUGGCUUCCUCUCUGCGUAUAUAACUCCUUCCUUCCUGAAUGUUCCUGCAUAGGGCCAUCGACCACUAGGCAUUCUCCUGAGAUAAGGCAAUGACCUUGAGCCUCCAGACUGCUCAAAUCAAGCUAACCUACUAUCUUUUUAAGAUAUUCAGUUUCAACAAACCAGAACCUUUCUUUCUCUGAUAAUUUAAUCCUCCCCUGUC